GACGAACGCUGGCGGCGUGCUUAACACAUGCAAGUCGAACGGAAAGGCACUGCUUUUGUGGGGUGAUCGAGUGGCGAACGGGUGCGUAACACGUGAGUAACCUGCCCUUGAUUUUGGGAUAACUUCAGGAAACUGGGGCUAAUCUAGGAUAGGAGACCCCGUUGCAUGGUGGGGGUUGGAAAGUUUCGGCGGUUGGGGAUGGACUCGCGGCUUAUCAGCUAGUUGGUGGGGUAGUGGCUGACCAAGGCAUUGACGGGUAGCCGGCCUGAGAGGGUGACCGGCCACAUUAGGACUGAGAUACGGCCCAGUCGCCUACGUGAGGCAGCAGGGGGGAGUAUUGCACAGUGGGCGGAAGCCGGAGGCAGCAACGCCGCGUGCGGGAUGACGGCCUGCUGGUUGAAAACCGCUGUCGCCUGUGACGAAGCUGUAGUGACGGUAAUGGGUAAAGAAGCACCGGCCAACUACGUG
rnacentral:rRNA from 1 species